AUUGAACGCUGGCGGCAGGCCUAACACAUGCAAGUCGAGCGAGCGGCGGACGGGUGAGUAAUGUCUGGGAAACUGCCUGAUGGAGGGGGAUAACUACUGGAAACGGUAGCUAAUACCGCAUACCAUCAGAUGUGCCCAGCUGGGAUUAGCUCGUAGGGGGGGUAAUGGCUCACCUAGGCGACGCUCCCUAGCUGGUCUGAGAGGAUGACCAGCCACACUGGAACUGAGAGACGGUCCAGACGCCUACGGGAGGCAGCAGUGGGGAAUAGUGCACAAUGGGCGCAGGCCUGAUGCAGCCAUGCCGCGUGUAUGAAGAAGGCCUUCGGGUUGUAAAGCACUUUCAGCGGGGAGGCGUUACCCGCAGAAGAAGCACCGGCUAACUCCGUGCCAGCAGCCGCGGUAAUAC
rnacentral:rRNA from 1 species